CUCAGCUCACCCUCUCUCACCUCACGUACACCCUUUCUUUCACUCUCUUUUGUGAAACAUUGAAGCUGUAAAUUGGAGAAAGAAACAAAGGCAACAGAAUAAGCAUUCUCUAUUUUUCUCUCUUUCCCUUAUCCCUCUCUCUCUCUUGAGGUUUUUGCCAUUUUUGGAAGAGGAAAACUUGGGAAUGGAAGCUUAGAGUGUAGAAUCAAGCAAGGAUCAACUUGGGACCCAUUGAGCAGCCAUCAAGGUGUACGCCAAGGCUCGGAGUGGGAUCGUGCUCGAGGAGCGUUCGUAGUAACUAAAGCACUCGAAAUUAAAGGUAAAGGCAAGGGUAUGAUGGUUCAACCAUGUGUUGGAGAGCUCUGGGGGCGAGGUGUACAUUGUCAGCUGCUCGGCCGCCACAGUCGAGGGAUUAUACAGGGACGGAAAACCUAAAAAGUGUAUUUUUCCAUUAGAGUGGCUUUGUUUAUUUAUAACACUUGGAAAUCUUGUAAAUAUGUCUUCUAAACCAUGUUUUAGGAUCCCAUGUACUAAACAUUUAUUUUAAUAGAAAUUAUCUGUUUAUGACUGAAAUCUUUUAAACCUAACCUGUUUAUGGCUUAGGUUCAUAUUUGUAU